rnacentral:rRNA from 1 species
AGCAUAUCAAUAAGCGGAGGAAAAGAAACUAACAAGGAUUCCCUUAGUAACUGCGAGUGAAGAGGGAAAAGCUCAAAUUUAAAAUCUGGCAGUGUUUCACUGUCCGAGUUGUAACCUAGAGAAGUGUAACCUGCGCUGGACCGUGUAUAAGUCUCCUGGAAUGGAGCGUCACAGAGGGUGAGAAUCCCGUCUUUGACAUGGACCACCAGUGCAUUGUGGUUGUGCUCUCAACGAGUCGAGUUGUUUGGGAAUGCAGCUCUAAAUGGGUGGUAAAUUCCAUCUAAAGCUAAAUAUUGGCGAGAGACCGAUAGCGAACAAGUACCGUGAGGGAAAGAUGAAAAGAACUUUGGAAAGAGAGUUAAACAGUAUGUGAAAUUGUUGAAAGGGAAACGUUUGAAGUCAGUCGCGUUGGUUGGGGAUCAGCCUGACAUUGUUGGGUUUACUUCCUGGUCGACGGGCCAACAUCAGUUUUGACUGCCAGAAAAAGGCCAAAGGAAUGUGGCACCUUUGGGUGUGUUAUAGCCUUUGGUCGUAUGUGGUGGUUGGGACUGAGGAAAGCAGCGUGCCGAAAGGCCGGGUUUCGACCACGUUCACGCUGAGGAUGUUGGCAUAAUGGCUUUAAGCGACCCGUCUUGAAACACGGACCAAGGAGUCUAACAUGCAUGCGAGUGUUUGGGUGGAAAACCCUUACGCGUAAUGAAAGUGAAAGUUGAGAUCCCUGUCGCGGGGAGCAUCGACGCCCGGACCAGAACUUUUGGGACGGAUCUGCGGUAGAGCACGUAUGUUGGGACCCGAAAGAUGGUGAACUAUGCCUGAAUAGGGUGAAGCCAGAGGAAACUCUGGUGGAGGCUCGUAGCGAUUCUGACGUGCAAAUCGAUCGUCAAAUUUGGGUAUAGGGGCGAAAGACUAAUCGAACCAUCUAGUAGCUGGUUCCUGCC